rnacentral:rRNA from 1 species
CUGGUUGAUCCUGCCAGCAGUCAUAUGCUUGUCUCAAAGAUUAAGCCAUGCAUGCGUCAGCAUAAUGUCUGAGGAAAUGAAUCUGCGAUUGGCUCAUUAAAACAGUGGUAAAUUACUUGGAGAUCCUUUCUACACGGAUAGUCGUAGCAAUUCUAGAACUAAUACGUGUGCCAAUGCCGAACUUCGUGGAUAGGUUUUUCUUAUUAGUUGCAGAAUCGAUACAGGCUCUACCUGGUUUACUUGUGGUUCGUAAUAAGUGGGUGAUUGCAUGGCUAAGGCUGGUAAUGACUCAUUCAAGCCUCUGACCUAUCAGCUUGUGAUGGUAGGGUCUUGGCCUACCCUGGCAUUGACGGGUAACGGAUAAUUAGGGUUUGAUUCCGGAGAGGUAGCCUGCAAAAUGGCUACCACAUCUAAGGAGGGCAGCAGGCACGCAAAUUACCCAAUCCUGACACAGAGAGGUAGUGACAAGAAUUAACAAUAUAUGGCAUCCAUGUCUUGUACUUGGAAUGAAUGGAAUCUACAUGCCUUUAUGAGCAUCAAUUGGAGGGCAAGUCU